GCCCCCUUAGCUUAGUGGCAAAGCAACGGUUUCGUAAACCGUAGACGCCAGUUCGAUUCUGGCAGAGGGCUCCA
rnacentral:tRNA from 1 species